GGGCGUAAGGGCUCGCAGGCGGUUUCUUAAGUCUGAUGUGAAAGCCCCCGGCUCAACCGGGGAGGGUCAUUGGAAACUGGGAAACUUGAGUGCAGAAGAGGAGAGUGGAAUUCCACGUGUAGCGGUGAAAUGCGUAGAGAUGUGGAGGAACACCAGUGGCGAAGGCGACUCUCUGGUCUGUAACUGACGCUGAGGAGCGAAAGCGUGGGGAGCGAACAGGAUUAGAUACCCUGGUAGUCCACGCCGUAAACGAUGAGUGCUAAGUGUUAGGGGGUUUCCGCCCCUUAGUGCUGCAGCUAACGCAUUAAGCACUCCGCCUGGGGAGUACGGUCGCAAGACUGAAACUCAAAGGAAUUGACGGGGGCCCGCACAAGCGGUGGAGCAUGUGGUUUAAUUCGAAGCAACGCGAAGAACCUUACCAGGUCUUGACAUCCUCUGACAACCCUAGAGAUAGGGCUUUCCCUUCGGGGACAGAGUGACAGGUGGUGCAUGGUUGUCGUCAGCUCGUGUCGUGAGAUGUUGGGUUAAGUCCCGCAACGAGCGCAACCCUUGAUCUUAGUUGCCAGCAUUCAGUUGGGCACUCUAAGGUGACUGCCGGUGACAAACCGGAGGAAGGUGGGGAUGACGUCAAAUCAUCAUGCCCCUUAUGACCUGGGCUACACACGUGCUACAAUGGACAGAACAAAGGGCUGCAAGACCGCAAGGUUUAGCCAAUCGCAUAAAUCUGUUCUCAGUUCGGAUCGCAGUCUGCAACUCGACUGCGUGAGGCUGGAAUCGCUAGUAAUCGCGGAUCAGCAUGCCGCGGGUGAAUAC
rnacentral:rRNA from 1 species